rnacentral:rRNA from 1 species
GACGAACGCUGGCGGCGUGCUUAACACAUGCAAGUCGAACGGAAAGGCCCCUUUGGGGGUACUCGAGUGGCGAACGGGUGAGUAACACGUGAGUAACCUGCCCUUGACUUCGGGAUAACUUCAGGAAACUGGGGCUAAUACCGGAUAGGAAUCCUUGCUGCAUGGUGGGGGUUGGAAAGCUUCGGCGGUUUUGGAUGGACUCGCGGCUUAUCAGCUUGUUGGUGGGGUAGUGGCUUACCAAGGCUUUGACGGGUAGCCGGCCUGAGGGCGACAGGCCACAUUGGGACUGAGAUACGGCCCAGACUCCUACGGGAGGCAGCAGUGGGGAAUAUUGCACAAUGGGCGGAAGCCUGAUGCAGCAACGCCGCGGGCGGGAUGACGGCCUUCGGGUUGUAAACCGCUUUCAGCAGGGGCGAAGCUUGUGGUGACGGUACCUGCAGAAGAAGCACCGGCUAACUACGUG